rnacentral:rRNA from 1 species
UGGGGAAUAUUGGACAAUGGGCGAAAGCCUGAUCCAGCCAUGCCGCGUGUGUGAAGAAGGUCUUCGGAUUGUAAAGCACUUUAAGUUGGGAGGAAGGGCAGUAAGCGAAUACCUUGCUGUUUUGACGUUACCGACAGAAUAAGCACCGGCUAACUCUGUGCCAGCAGCCGCGGUAAUACAGAGGGUGCGAGCGUUAAUCGGAUUUACUGGGCGUAAAGCGUGCGUAGGCGGCUAAUUGAGUCGGAUGUGAAAUCCCCGAGCUUAACUUGGGAAUUGCAUUCGAUACUGGUUAGCUAGAGUGUGGGAGAGGAUGGUAGAAUUCCAGGUGUAGCGGUGAAAUGCGUAGAUAUAGGAAGGAACACCAGUGGCGAAGGCGACCACCUGGGCUCAUACUGACACUGAGGUGCGAAAGCGUGGGGAGCAAACAGG